rnacentral:rRNA from 1 species
UGGGGAAUAUUGCGCAAUGGGCGAAAGCCUGACGCAGCGACGCCGCGUGAGGGAUGAAGGUUUUCGGAUCGUAAACCUCUGUCAGAAGGGAAGAAACCGCACUGUGCUAAUCAGCAGUGCCUUGACGGUACCUUCAAAGGAAGCACCGGCUAACUCCGUGCCAGCAGCCGCGGUAAUACGGAGGGUGCAAGCGUUAAUCGGAAUUACUGGGCGUAAAGCGCACGUAGGCUGCUUUGUAAGUCAGGGGUGAAAUCCCACGGCCCAACCGUGGAACUGCCUUUGAUACUGCUUAGCUUGAAUCCGGGAGAGGGUGGCGGAAUUCCAGGUGUAGGAGUGAAAUCCGUAGAUAUCUGGAGGAACAUCAGUGGCGAAGGCGGCCACCUGGACCGGUAUUGACGCUGAGGUGCGAAAGCGUGGGGAGCAAACAGG